GUGGCUCACAACCUCCACAUCAGGUGCCUCACAGCCUCCACAUCAGGUGCCUCACAGCCUCCACAGCAGGUGCCUCACAGCCUCCACAGCAGGUGGCUCACAACCUCCACAGCAGGUGCCUCACAGCCUCCACAGCAGGUGCCUCACAGCCUCCACAGCAGGUGCCUCACAGCCUCCACAGCAGGUGCCUCACAGCCUCCACAGCAGGUGCCUCACAGCCUCCACAGCAGGUGCCUCACAGCCUCCACAUCAGGUGCCUCACAGCCUCCACAUCAGGUGCCUCACAGC